rnacentral:rRNA from 1 species
AGCGAACGCUGCGGCAUGCUUAACACAUGCAAGUCGCACGGCGGGGGCAACUCCGCCAGUGGCGGACGGGUGGAGUAACGCGUUAGGAAUCGUAUCCUUGGAAAUGGGGGGACAAACCGUGGGAAACUACGGCUAAUACCGCAUGAUGACCUGAGGGCCAAAGACGAAAGUCGUUUGAGGAGGAGCCUGCGUCUGAUUAGGUAGUUGGUCGGGGUAAAGGCCUACCAAGCCCUACGAUCAGUAGCUGGGUCUGAGAGGAUGAUCAGCCACAUUGGGACUGAGACACGGCCCAAACUCCUACGGGAGGCAGCAGUGGGGAAUAUUGGACAAUGGGCGCAAGCCUGAUCCAGCAAUGCCGCGUGGGUGAAGAAGGUCUUCGGAUUGUAAAGCCCUUUUGGCGGGGACGAUGAUGACGGUACCCGCAGAAUAAGCUCCGGCUAACUACGUG